AAGGGGGGGGGGGGAGGGAACAUCUGUGGUCCAGCAGACAUCCACAUGCACAUGUGUGCAGAAUGCAUAAUUGAAAUGUCAAGGUCUAAAAGUACAAAAGCAUCUGAUUUCCACUCAUUACUAGAAUUUCUUAGUUCCUUUCAGCAGAGAAAAAAGCAACAGGUACAAAUCAUAAUGAGUGAUCAGAGAAUAUACAAGGAACACAUGGAAGAUUACCAUAAACAGUGGGAUGUAUGCAUUAUAGUCUUGAGAUAGAAAAUUAUGAAGAAAGGUACAGAAAUAAGAGGACUGAGAAAACACCUCCAAGAAAAGAAAAGGGGGCAAGAAGGAAUAUCACAAAACAAGCAUGUGUUCCUCAAACAAGUCAAAUAUUUUAAAUAAAUUAAUAUUUCAACAAUGAAUUAUGAGAAAAUAACUAGGUUACAAAAAUAUCAACUCCCUACAUAAGAAACUCUCUAUUAUAAUUCUAAGCAGAAAAGUAAUAAACAAACCAAAACAACAGCUAGGUAAACUUUUCCUUUGACUAAAUUUUCACCUUACUUUUGCAUACACAUUGUUAUCAAUUUUGACCCUAAGUUACCAAAUUGAACAUAACCAUGCAAUUGAAAACCUGACACUUUCAUUGCUCAAAUCUCCCAAUUGUCAUAAGCACACAAUGUACCUCAGGAUGAGGUUAGUCAACAAAUAGGAAGCAGAGCAUCAAUGAUAAUAUAAGAAUAUGUGAAUAUGCAUAAAAUGACCUGUUUGCAAUUUUCCACUCCAUCUAACACAUCAGAGUUGAAGAAACAUGGCAUAACUUACCUUUGCUUUUCUGUGGAGCCUGAGAACUUCCCCUUGGGCGCUUAUGUGAUAGAGUUGCAUAGUGAUCCCUCGGGCCACCAUCCAUGAAUGGUACUAGAUCCUCUAGCAAACUCUCAGGCUGUAUCAUUCCACUCCAUGCACGCAUCUUUUGUCCCGUUAUUGGGUCAAUGACAAGCACCACAGGAAUAGAGUCCAAUUUGUAAUAUGUGCAGACUUUCCUCCCCUCACUUGUAUCAUCAUAUACCUGCCAAAAGAUAAAAUUAGUACUGAUGGUUUGAGCAACAGCUUCAUUUGCCCAUGUAUCCCGAUUAAGCAUAUGAGAGCUGAACUCCUUUGUGGAUUGUAUAUUCACCAGGAGCCAUUUGUCCUGAACAGAAGCAGCACCUUUUGCCUUUUCAAAUGAACCAUGAAACAUUAGAUGAAAUGGAGGACGGUACAAAGAAGCAAGAUUAUCUCGAGGGUUUUCUGCUGUAGAUGUGGCACCUUGGUCUGAUUCCCAAACUCCUGGACGUCUCAUUUCCUCAUCAAAGUUGCGAAAUGCAACCAAUGAACUGGUUUCAUUAUGAGGAUAACCCAUCCUCGAUGUUCUAUAAAACAUUGCAUCAUCAUAAAGAGUAUCCCUCACAACUGGCAAAGGAGGGCGCACUUCCUCUCCACCAUCUUGUCCAACAUUUACAGUUUCAUUUUCCUGGCCCUUCAAUCCACCAGUAUUUUCAUCUGCCCAGGUAUUAGCAUUUUCUGUUGGUGGUGAAUGUGAUACAGAUGCAACUGGCCCAGCUUCAUUGCCUACAUAAAAUAACUGAAGAGCUUCCUCAAGUUUCCAACUGGUGGCCUGGAGGAACUGAAUAGCAGUCUCGGCGGUUUGGCCAACGGCGAUCUCAAGGAAGGAAGAGACCAUGCUCUGCUUAUCAUUGCUGGACAACAUUCCCUCCAUAGCUAAAAAUAAUCCCCAAAUCCAAACCCUAAAUAUCAGAUAAAAAGGAUGAAACGUAGCUCGAAUGAACUGCCAAUUUCAAAUUCGUAGAGAGAAAAUCAGCUGAUAUCUAGGGUUGGAUAGAGAAAUUGUGUCGAGAGGAGAAGAAAGGAAAAAGUACAAAGAAUAUUUGCAGAGCGGUUCUCUUGUUUUAUAAUUUUCGGCUAAG
rnacentral:misc_RNA from 1 species